rnacentral:rRNA from 1 species
AUUGAACGCUGGCGGCAGGCCUAACACAUGCAAGUCGAGCGGAAACGACAUUAUUGAUUCUUCGGAUGAUUUAAUGGGCGUCGAGCGGCGGACGGGUGAGUAAUGCCUAGGAAAUUGCCUUGAUGUGGGGAUAACCAUUGGAAACGAUAGCUAAUACCGCAUGAUGUCUACGGACCAAAGGGGGCUUUUAGCUCCCGCGCAGAGAGGAACCUAAGCGAGAUUAGCUAGUUGGUGUGGUAAAGGCGCACCAAGGCGACGAUCUCUAGCUGUUCUGAGAGGAAGAUCAGCCACACUGGAACUGAGACACGGUCCAG